rnacentral:rRNA from 1 species
UACGGAGGGUGCAAGCGUUAUCCGGAUUCACUGGGUUUAAAGGGUGCGUAGGCGGGUAUAUAAGUCAGUGGGGAAAGCUCCGAGCUUAACUUGGAAACUGCCAUUGAUACUGUAUAUCUUGAAUGUCGUUGAGGUUAGCGGAAUGUUGCAUGUAGCGGUGAAAUGCUUAGAUAUGUUACAGAACACCAAUUGUGAAGACAGCUAACUAAGCGAUGAUUGACGCUGAGGCACGAAAGCGUGGGGAGCAAACAGG